UAUGAAAUCCUUGUGCCACUCCGGGCAGGAUAGUUCCUGGGCUCAGUUAUCCUUUGAAACUUUCCUGGGUGAUCUGUCCUCACAGCCCCCUACCUUCCUGGGUCUGUCCCAUUGAAAACAUUACAUUCACUCUUUUUAAGUCUCUGUUUUACAGUAUCUGUAAGCUGUAGUUCAUCAACGGGUCUUGAGAAACAGUAUAAAAUAGUUCUGAAGAGGCAAGAAAGAGGAAAUUUCUGAAAAAGGCUCCAUGAAAUGGGUCAGAGAGAAUGAAAAAACCAAGUGUAAUAAAUACUACACAAGUUCAGAGUGCUGCUGCUUCACGGGAGGAUUUUCAUUUAUCCAGCUGCCUCCGGCUACUUCUGACGGCCUGGAGUCUCUCCGGCCCAUGUGGCAAACUGACCCUUGUUACAAGUUGGACUUCCGCAGGCCGCCUGGACUCCUGCUUGGCGACGGGACUAGAAGACAAAGCUUCCGGUACUUCACUGUGUUUUAUUCAUUAAAACCUCAUGCAGACUUGACCCCGUGCAGCAUGGAGUGCUGAGUUCAAUGAGAGAAAAUAGAGUGAUCAUGACACUAAAGAUGGGUGCAAAACCCAGGGGAGAGAACCAAG